rnacentral:sRNA from 1 species
GAGGGUUCCUCCUCUCCCUCGUCCUCUCCCUCCAGCGCCGCCAGUGAGACUCUCGUCGUCCCCAACGCCAUGACCAGCACCGGGUCGAGCUCGUCGCCGGCGUAGCGGCCACCUCGUCGCCUCCCCGUAGCUGCGCAAGCAAGAGGACCCAGGAGGGGUUCCAUUUUCGCGCGGAGCCGGAGCCGGGGCUUCUUCCUCGACGUCCCCGACGAGCACCUUCUUCCUCGGCCAGCGGCUUUUACCUGCAGCAGUAGGCGCACUUCUUCUUCUUCCACGUCGGGCGCCUCUCCUCUCGACGCAAGCUGUUCAUUGGCUGUUAUUCUUGUGUUGGGUAGCACCGGGAGCGGAGACCGAAUACGUGGAGUCAGGAGAGUACGUGUAGGACGAUCCAGAACCAUUCCAAGCUGAGGAUAUCACAGCAGGUACAGGUACCCCAGAGGCAGAGGAUCCCGACGGCACCCAGCUGGCGUGGCAGUACGACGAGGAGACAGAUCGCCUUUACGUGAACUAUCCAGAGGACUGAGCCGUGGUCGUGAUCGUGGGCCUGCAGCGGGUAGCAUAGCAUUUCCCUUGUUUUGAAGUCCGUACCGGAACUACAUUGAUUGUAUCUGCGUUGUACUCUGUAUUAUUAAUAAGAAGACAGUUGAACC